rnacentral:misc_RNA from 1 species
AAAGAGAGUCUCAAAGUAGGAAGAAGAGAAAACUCAAAUUUCAGAUCGCUAUUUGCAUAAUGUUCUUUUCUCUUCCCUUUUGUUGUAUAAAGGUUCCCAUCUGUAUCUGCAUCUCUCUGUCUCUAUAGCCAACUUUGAAGGAUUUUGUUUUGGGGAUGUGUUACUAUUACCCAUUUGAGCCUGUUUAACUUGCUACUAAUUCAGCACUUUGGUUUGAAGAG